CAGACUCUUGAAAUGCAGAAUUUGAAGGGCUAAUCACCCUGUCUUGGCAGAGUUUAUCAGUCAACUAUUCUGCAUAAUUUGUCCUUUUCUGGACAGUAUUAGUCUGCAGAUGAAACAGGCAGUUUUGUCUAAUGGCUGCCUAGGCAAAAAAGUAUUGCCUCACUUGGAGGUAGAGAUGUUCAAAUUCUUUGUUAAAUCCACCAAAGGGGAACUGUUAGGAGCAGAUAUGUCUCAACAAAAGAUAAAUAACUUUAAAUCUCAAAUUUUGUGGAUUUCUGACGUUUUUGAAAACCAUCUACCUAUAAUAUAAGACAAUCUGGACUGUUGUCUUUAUAUCUUAAUAAUAUCUUGAAUGUUCUCUCACAAAGUCAGCAAUAUGUCUGCUAUUUGGCCCUUAACUCACAUGUGUAAUCAGCACAGAAGUUUGUAAUGACAUCAUUAGAAGGACUGGCUCUAAACCUUUUAAACUUUUAACUUUUAAACUUUUAACAAAUAAAUUCUAUACCAAAACAAAGAUAUGAUUUUAGCUUAGUUACCAAAUGAGAUUAUGACUGUACAACUCAAUCUAUCUGAUUCCUCCCUGUUAUAUUACAACCGUUUCUAGAUUUCUCAUAAAAACAACUUUAGAAUAACCACUUUCAGCCCCUCAAAGUCCAGGGAAUUGGGGCGACGACUUCUCUAUAAUUUCUUCAAGCUGUACAUGGGCAUUGAGAUAUCCUUGGGGGUAGAGGGUAGGAAGAAUGAAGCAAAUGCUGUAGCCAAUGUGUCCUGACUGGACCCAGGUGAAAGUCUUUGAGACCAGGAAUCCAAGUAGGCACACUCUGUAAAAUACAACUCUCAAUACAAAAGUUUAGAAUAGAAAUCUCUUUUUGUUUGAUUCUCCUGCAUUAAUUUUUUCAGGCAGUCUACCUCUAUCAAAUCUGAUCAGUAUGACUCUAUGAGGUUUCCAGAGCCUAAUCACACUUUUUAAAAACACAAAGACAAAAUCUUUCUUCCAAAAUACUGUGUUCCUUAGUCUGUAACCAGAAAAGCUUGUAUCUUGCACUCUCUCCCAGAGUAAUAAUAUAACCGUAAAACUCAGUCACACCCAUUAUGAAGAUUAAACAAUUUUUUAAAAAGGAAGUAAGCUAAACAAUGAGCCUGAUAGGCUUUUGUACUCUGUGAUAUCAGGAAAUUAACCCAAAAUUCCUGUGGAGCCCAUGUUAAGAGAAUCUGAGCUUCCUGUUGUGGUACAUAUAAAAAAUAACCACAAACCCUCGCUAGCCAGCAUCAACGAGCCAUAUGGCCUUUAGCGGGGUUAUUCAUAAAACAAGCCAAAUACCUUCUAUCAACUCCAAUAUCAAUAAGCAACUUAUCAAACCAGGACUUUAGCCCAAACUAUCUCAAUCUGUCAAGCUCUCUACCUGGAGCCACAGAUUUUUCUUUAACCUUCUUUUUUUUUGGUUCUUUUUUUCGGAGCUGGGGACCGAACCCAGGGCCUUGUGCUUCCUAGGCAAGCGCUCUACCACUGAGCUAAAUCCCCAACCCCUCUUUAACCUUAAUAACCUAAAUAUAUAUCCAUCUGUUAAGCUCUCUACCCGGAGCCACAGAUUUUUACUUAACCUUAAUAAUUUGUAAAUAUCACAAUACUCUACUUGGAGUCAGUGACUAAUUUUUCCAUAAGUUCCGAACCAUGGAUGAAAAUCCCCACGUGAUUCAGGUAAUCUCUGUACUCUUCUUAAAACAAACCUAAACACCUUCUAUGAAUUCUAAUACUAAUAAGCAACUUAAAACUCAGGACUUUUACCCAAAAUAUAACCAUCUGUUAAGCUCUCUACCUGGAGCCACAGAUUUUUCUUUAACCUUAAUAACUUCGAUAAUAUAUGUCUGCAUUCACUCUCCCUGGUGUUACAGACAUUUCAUCACAACUCUCUACUUGGAGGUUGAGUUCUGAACCGUGGAUGAAAAUCCCCACCUGAUUCAGGUAAUCUCUUUACUCUCUUCUUUCUAAAAACAAACUUAAUCAUCUUUUAAUAAUACCUGUAAUUACAAGAAGUAGCUUGUCUAACUAGGAUUUCAACCCAAAAUUCCCGUGGAGCCCACGUUAAAAAGAAUAUGAGUAUCCUGAAAGACUUUCUAAACAACUUUCUUUAAAAAGCAGCUUUUAAUCUCUAACUCUCUGAGCUGCCAUUACUUAUCACACAGCAGGGGACCUACAGUCUGCCAGUCCAGGCUGCUUCCCUUGAGAUAUCACAUGACCUUACCUGGCACGGGCUUCCUCUUACUUAGAAAAUAAAAACUUUCUCUCAACUCUUAGGAUUACUAGUGGAUUCUUGCCCAUCACAUUGGUUCGCCAUCUGUUAUUGUAAAAAUAUAAAAAUAAAAAAAGUAUUGUGGUCUUUUAUCCUGCUAGGUCACACUGCAGUGUCUAUCUGCUAGAUAUCUUGGCAGAAACACAUCCCAACUCCUCGGUGGCCCAGUGUCUCUUGCCGCUGCAAACUUUGCUACACUGAAACCGUCACAUAAAAGAACACAUAACACAAUAAUCUUAUGUCCAACUGAUAAGACAUAAUUGCCCACUUAAACAUACAAAGCCUGGUACCAUCCAUCCCUUAGGAACAUUGAUAACAACCUGUAAAUACACAGAGCGAGAUCUUUACGUCAGCCUCCAUUGUCCUGCUAUGGCUUUUCCCCCUCCCCUCGAAACAUUUUAAACAUUGAUUCUCUUGCUUGUACACUAUUGUAGUUUUGGAAGGAUAUAGAAUGUUUGGAAGUAGAGUCUGGCUGGUAAAAGUGAAUCCUUAGGGACAGGCUUCUGUAGGUUGUAGCUUGGACCCUGGUUCUAGUGGCUUACUGCUUGGUUUGCCAAGCUGUGUUCAGCCAUAUCCAUCUGCUGCCGCUGCUUUCUCACCACAAUGGACUGCAAGCCUGAGGUAUGAGAUAAAGUAAAUCUCCCCUCCUUUCUGCUGUUUCUUUCAUGUAUUCUGGUCAUAGUUGAGUGAAAUUGGUAAUAGAGUAGUGAGGUGCCAUUGCCGUGUUAAACCUAACACUGCUUUGUUUUUUUUUGUUUUUGUUUUUCUUUUUUUCCUCUCUUUGUUUUUGCCUUAGAACUGAUCCAUGCGUGUGGGUUAAAAGUUCUUAAGGGGAGGGAACAAAAGAAAUGUAUAAAACAAAAUUUGAUUUAGGUAGUAUCAAACUCCCAGACACCUUUUCUUCUGUGCAUGGAUUUUUUUUUGUUGUGAACCUUUGGGCUUGAGGCAUGGGAGCCUCACAGAAUGUGUCAAUUCCUAAAACACUUCCAGGUAUGUGACUUGACGGCAAUUGUUAGAAACUUUAUAUUAUGAAAUACACACUUUCUAACAUAAGCAAAUAAAUAAAAAGUGUGUUCAAUAAGCGAAUGACUUGCUCUCUCUUAUGGAGAAUGGAAGGAUCAGUCUUUCUAUGUGUCAUCUACCAAAUGAGCAGAAGACAUAAACAUAGUAAUGACUGUAGGCAAAAAGAAGAGUGGGUAAUCGAUUUGUCUGCCUCAGCAUUUGAACUUUUGCUUUCAUUUCUUCUGAGCUUUUAGUGAGAAUAUAGUUUCUGAAGCCAUGGCAGGAGCAAAGUAGAGUAGGAGGGCAACACACAGAGAAGAAAACUGGAGACUGAACCUCCUUCAUUGUUCAGUCCCUGACACCCAUGGCCUUGGCUCCCAGGCUUUAUGUAGAUAGUAGAACGGGCCUGGCUGUACCACCUUAUCUCAGACAGCAUCCUAUUUUAACGGUGCGUCGACAGGUAUCGUGGCUUCUCUGCUCUUUCCGGAAGCAGUAUUGAUUCAUUUUUGGAGCUUGAUAAUUGCCUGGAAAAAAAAAUCUCUUCAAAGUAUUAAAGGAUUUAAAUUAUGAUGAUGACGACGACGACGUUGACGAUGAUGAUGAUGAUGGUGAUGAUGAUGAUGAUGACGACGAUGAUUUAGUUAUACUUAGCUGUAUGCAUGCCCUAAGGGGUUUCUUGAUAAUUAUCUGCAUGGGAAAUAAUCUCUUUAAAGUAUCUACCAAGAAACUUUAAACUUUAAACUACUAAAUUUUUACAUUAAGUGGAAUCAUUCAUCAAAGGCAAACAACAGUGCCCCUCUGAUCGCAAACUUUAGAAAAUCAGUUUUCUGAAGUGCUUUUUAAAAGUCUGGGACUAUUUUUUCUCUUUUUAAGAAAAUUGAACUCUCUUAUAUUACCCAUUUACAUUUCAGCAUUUGUUAUAACACAGUUGUAAGGAGGCCGGAAGCACUAGCACAUUUGGUUAACACUAUGCCAUCAUAUGCUAUCAUUUUCCACUGAGGAAAGUAAUCCACAGAGAAGGAAGGGGUCGGGAGGUGCCACACCUAGCUGGUGUAGUUAGUGCUGGUAUCUAGGCAGCAGAUUCUAGAACUACACGAUGCAAAGCCUCUGGCAAGCCAACCCUUUAUAGGCGAUGAAACUGAGAUCCAGAGACAUGACAUGACUUGCCAAGACCACGUCAUGAUGAGUUAGAGGCCAGGGAUGACAGCUUAACACAAAAAUAAGUUAUUGAGAUCAUUUGGUGCUUCGCCAAUGAAGAUCACCUUUGUCCUUUGGGUUGCUAGUGGAGCAGACAAUCCGGAGAAGUCCAGUGCUGUAAGCUCUUUCAUGUGAUCUCAAGACAAAGGCUACUCUCAGCCAGAGACUGAGAUGCCUCUCCUUUUGAAGACCCAUGGAUGCAGAAGAUGUUGAGAAUAAGGAAUGGUUGAGGGCUCAGCACUCCUAACAGUCAGCUGGGAAUGGCGAAUGAGAAUCACAGGGCCACUCCACUGAUUGCUGACCUAUUGGCAACUGACAGAUUCUGAGACAAGUGUGGUAUCCAGUUGUAUAUCCACUGGCAAACUCAUGAGGCUCUGCUCAUUAGUUCUAGCAUUAGGGUCAUACAGAUGCCCCUGAUUGAAUUCUGCUGAUACUAAACAAUUCUACACUGGUAAAUAGAGUAUAAGGGUUAUAAGGAGUGGGUGGAGGUGGUAGAGGAAGAGUGGAACUGGGAUGUGGGGAGAGGGCCCCAAGUACCUGGUACACAUGCAUGAUGUCAUAAAAGAACAACAUUUGCUGAUUAAAAUAUCUGCUAAACUUA